UCCCUGGUGGCUCAGGCAGUAAAGCGUCUGCCUGCAAUGCAGGAGAUCCGGGUUCAAUUCCUGGGUCGGGAA
rnacentral:tRNA from 1 species